rnacentral:rRNA from 1 species
GACGAACGCNGGCGGCGUGCUUAACACAUGCAAGUCGAACGAAGAGCGAUGGAAGCUUGCUUCUAUCAAUCUUAGUGGCGAACGGGUGAGUAACGCGUAAUCAACCUGCCCUUCAGAGGGGGACAACAGUUGGAAACGACUGCUAAUACCGCAUACGAUCUAACCUCGGCAUCGAGGAUAGAUGAAAGGUGGCCUCUACAUGUAAGCUAUCACUGAAGGAGGGGAUUGCGUCUGAUUAGCUAGUUGGAGGGGUAACGGCCCACCAAGGCGAUGAUCAGUAGCCGGUCUGAGAGGAUGAACGGCCACAUUGGGACUGAGACACGGCCCAGACUCCUACGGGAGGCAGCAGUGGGGAAUCUUCCGCAAUGGACGAAAGUCUGACGGAGCAACGCCGCGUGAGUGAUGACGGCCUUCGGGUUGUAAAGCUCUGUUAAUCGGGACGAAAGGCCUUCUUGCGAAUAGUUAGAAGGAUNGA